rnacentral:rRNA from 1 species
UGCCAGCAGCCGCGGUAACACGGGGGGCGCAAGCGUUAUUCGGAAUUAUUGGGCAUAAAGGGCGCGUAGGUGGUCUUUUAAGUAAGUUGUUAAAGGCAUCGGCUCAACCGAUGUUUGCAUCUUAAACUGAAAGACUAGAGGACAGUAGAGGAAAGCGGAACUCAUAGUGUAGCGGUGAAAUGCGUAGAUAUUAUGAGGAACACCAGUUGCGAAGGCGGCUUUCUGGCCUGAUCCUGACACUGAGGCGCGAAAGCGUGGGGAGCGAACAGGAUUAGAUA